rnacentral:lncRNA from 1 species
GCUCCGCAGGGCGCAGCUUUAUACGACCGCAGAGGUUGAACCCUGAACGGUUGGGGCAAGUAUGGACACAACAUUCAAGCUGGAUUCAGCUCAAAAUUUGGAUUGUGAUUAAAUAGUUGACACAGCAUAGGUUUCUGACACAGAAUGAAUGUGGUCUAAUGAACUUAAAAUACUUUUUUUUCCUUUGAGCAAUUCACUAUGCUGUUGAAUAUUAAUCCUCUCAAAAAAAUAUUUGAAGAAAUUUUCUUUUUUUUUAUGAAAUCUGAAAUGAGAAAAAUUUAACCCCCCCCCCCCAUUUUUUUUUUCACAUCCCCCUUUCCCUUUUUCCAAAACUGAUCUCAAUUCAAAUUUCUAAUGGAGUUUGCAACAAUAACUACUCAUUUAAAUACAUCAUAAAAUAUUAAAAUGUAACAAAAGGUGCUUG